UAGCGACACAAGGAACACGUUUUUUUUUGGGAAAACACAACAAUGGAAACGAAUACAAUAUUAUCUCAGCACAACAACGCGGAAGCUAUUAUUUUUCAUUCUGCACGUUUCACUCGACGAAUAACGACUGGAAAAUUCAAAAAGUUUGAUAAAAAGUGAAGUUAUGAAUUUUUUCGAUUCUCGAUAGUUCUUUCAUUUUUCCUCAUUUAUAAGAGUUUUUCAAAAACGAAACUUGUUCUCUGGUUCAAAAAUCCACAUCCCAGAAUGUUUUCGACUCGGUUAAACGAACUCUAACUGUAUGGGAAUCGUGAGAAAAUCGUUCGAGUCAUUUCCACCCAAGGAAGUCGUAAACGGUGAUGGAACAGUGGGACGAGCGAGUGUUAAAGAGGGGCAGCGGGAGGAGAGGGAUAUGAAUCAAGAGCCGAGGCAGUAUGGCGAAGGCCGUUCGACGCAACUGACGCAACUGUAUCGGGGCGCCACGAAUCUCCACUGAGUUAGCCCCCCCAUAUUUGCAUUUUUUUUUAGACAAAUUUCUUGGAGGUCGUACAGUGGUUCGUGGUGGCGCAAUUAAAUCGUUCAGUGAUUUCUUGAUUAUCAUACAGUGGUCAAUGGUGGCGCCAUUAAAUUCUUCAGUGCUCAUAUGGUAGGGUGGAGAUUGUCCGAGUCAACAUGACGUGCAACUACUAAAAAAACGAGAGUCGGCUAGUGACUUUCAGCCGAGCGAAGAUAGUGAAAACGCCAUUUUUGGACAAUGCAGUGCCUACCAACACUUUUAAUUAUACUAAUAUUUAAUCCCAAAUGAUUUCUGAUCGUUUAAAAAAAAAACGAUUUUUCAAGUUCAAGGCUAAGAUCUGCCAACUAUACACCAAUUAAUUUUUAUUAAUGAUUUAUUAACUAUUCUUUCGAAGUCUAUUUCAAUAACUUCGAAAACUUGCGAAAACAAUUCGAUAAUCAUUUGAACAAAAAAAUAAAAGUUUCAUCAUUUUCGUCUGCCAAAUA